AGAACGAACGCUGGCGGCAGGCCUAACACAUGCAAGUCGAACGCUCGUAGCAAUACGGGAGUGGCAGACGGGUGAGUAACACGUGGGAACGUACCCUUCGGUUCGGGAUAACUCAGGGAAACUUGAGCUAAUACCGGAUACGUCCGAGAGGAGAAAGGUUUACUGCCGAAGGAUCGGCCCGCGUCUGAUUAGCUAGUUGGUGAGGUAACGGCUCACCAAGGCGACGAUCAGUAGCUGGUCUGAGAGGAUGAUCAGCCACAUUGGGACUGAGACACGGCCCAAACUCCUACGGGAGGCAGCAGUGGGGAAUAUUGGACAAUGGGCGCAAGCCUGAUCCAGCCAUGCCGCGUGAGUGAUGAAGGCCUUAGGGUUGUAAAGCUCUUUUACCCGGGAAGAUAAUGACUGUACCGGGAGAAUAAGCCCGGCUAACUUCGUGCCAGCAGCCGC
rnacentral:rRNA from 1 species